rnacentral:rRNA from 1 species
GGGUCAGUAGGUUGGUCGUGCCACCGGUACGUACUGGUCUCACUGAUUCCUCCUUCCUGAAGAACCGUAACGCCAUUAAUUUGGUGUUGCGGGGAAGCAGGACUGUUACUUUGAAAAAAUUAGAGUGUUUAAAGCAGGCUAACGCUUGAAUACAUUAGCAUGGAAUAAUGAAAUAGGACGAUCGAUCCUAUUUUGUUGGUUUCUAGGAUUGACGUA